UAGUAAUUCACUUUGAUUGACUAUAUAAAUAGAAGAUUUAAGAGUAUCCGAACAUUUCUAUUUGGGCCAGUAUACCAUCAACCAGCCAUGGUACGCAGCGGGAUUUUAUUUUUCAUUAUUUUGUUAACUUUUGGCGGUCAAAUCAGAGACACUAAACAAGACAAUUCACAACCAGCUAAAGAUGAUAUACCGCAACGUUGCUUAGAGAAUAGUAUUUCGUCAGUUUCCUGCAGGAAUGUAAAUUCUGACGACGCUUUGCUAGCACAUCCCGAAGAUUGUAAUUUGUUUUACUACUGCGUCAGUCCCGAUCACGAGCCGAUUUGCCGACAAUGCCCAGCUCAACUUCACUUCAACCCUAAUAAACAUGUUUGCGAUGUGCCGGAACGUGCAGGAUGCAUUAUUCAAAUAUCAUCUAAGAAAUAAUAAAAUUUAAUAAAUAUUUGAGAAUAA